UCUAAAAUUAUUUCACUUUACUAUUUGCUUAAUUUAUCAUUUGUUUCCAACUUUACCAAUCUCAUCCGACAUUACAAAAAAUCAGAAGUUCAAAACCUAUUACUUAUAUCAAAACCCAUAUCGGCAUAUCAUUUUAGAUUGUUCAAAAAAUCAAAACCCAUAUCUUUCAGUUUCCAUCGCCCGCUGUUCCAGUUCGGGUUCGCCGUUCGUAAGCCUCAGCCGCUGGCCCGCUGUCUCUCAACUCUCAAGCUUGCCCCCCUCUCUCGUCGUUAAAUAACCUCCUGAUUUCUUGUUUCAAAGUUGAGGGAUUCACCGGAAACACAACUGAUCGAUACAUGGCGCGCGCACAUAUACAUACUUAUAUAUAUAUAUACACACGUCUAUCUCAUUUUCAGGGAGAUUGCGAUGGACCAUUCCAUUAUGUAGCUUCUUGAAGAGGACGAGGACGAAACUAUGCAUUCUGGGGCGGAUGUGGAGGCGUUCACUGUUGCUUUAAACAGGGACAUUGAGGGCCACACCUCCACUUCUCAACCCUCUGAUUCAGGCGUUUACAGGCAUCUCUACAAGCUUUGGAUUAAGGACGAGGCUCUCUCAAAAGCUUUAAGCCUAUAACAGAGGAUGAGUUGGUUUAUCUUAGAGCUCAGUUUAUGCUUUUGGACCCUAACAAAGAUGGACAUGUCUCGCUUGAUAAUUUCAAAUACUUCCCUUUCUUUCUAUUUGAUCCUUAAAUUGAAGUUGAUUAUGAUUUCAGGGAAUGAUUGUUCUAAUUAUGGAGAUGACAUGAUCAUGUGAUAAAAGAAAUUAUGUUCUGUGUUAGCCAGUUUUCUUAUCCUCAUUCCUUCCUAUAAAGUCAAAUUUAUGGUCAAACGAGAACUGAAAACAAAUUUGCAGGCUCUUGUGCGAAAUGCAACUGACGCAAUGAAGGAGUCAAGGAUUCCUGAUAUUCUCAAUGCGGUGAGGACUUUGGGAUCAUUAUUGCUCAGUGAAAAAGUAUAUGAUCAUUGUAUCUGAUAUUUAUUCUGGUGUUUAUGAUAUUUUUGCAUGUUUAAAUGCUUAUAAAAUGAGUAGUUCCUUGCGAAAUAACCAUUUUUGC